AAAAAUUAGUAUUAGUUUAUGUUCUUGAAAUUUAAAAAAUUUGGCGGUAUUUUAAAUUUUUAGAGGAACCUGUCCUAUAAUUGAUAGUCCACGAUUAAAUGUACUUAUUUUAAGUUUAUAUAUCGUUGUAAAUAAAUAUUUUGUAAGAAAAUAAAUAUUUGAAAUAUAAUAUAAUUAUAAAGACUCAAAUCAAGAUGUAGCUAUAAAUAAGAAGAGAUGGGUUACAAUUAUUUUAUUAGUGGAAUUAUUUAUUUUAAAUAAUUAGGAAAGUGGAUUUAAUAGUAAUUUAAAACAUUAUUUUUAAGUGAAUUAGUUUAUGAAAUAUGCACAUAUUGCCCGUCACUCCUAAAAGAA
rnacentral:rRNA from 1 species